GCCGCCCAACUGUCGCGAGAUCUUGGGACAAGGAAACAAAGAAAGAGAAGGGGCGGAACUAGCCGGAAGAAUGGCCGUUGGAACCUGAGGCUGGACUAGAAGGGUGAGGCUUGAAGGUAUGACGCAUCCACACUUUUACUCCAGCGAACUUCACGGAAGGAUGAGUAGUGAGAAGAAUGUCAAAGGAGCCUGCCCAUGGAGCAGACAGCUGAUUCUUGCUGUUUCCAAGUUUUGAGCAGGACUCAGUCACCUGACUGGUAAGACUGUAAGGAGCCAUCAGAUGGGUAGAUUGACCUCUUGGAGGCAAACUCAUGAACAGAGGUUAGUAUAGAACUUAGAGAUUUUACAUGAUUGGUGAUCAUUAUAUCCUGUAAGCCUUCCAGAGAAUUUUUCCCAAGGGAGGAAUCCUGAAAUGGUCUACCAUACAGAAUUUCAAGAGGGCUUAAUUGAAGCCUGCUGUGGAGGGCUACUCUGAUUUGCAAGAGGGCAAGGGGUAGCACCUUAUCCCAAGUUAAUUGUGUUUCCUGGCAAAUCUUAGGAGUGUUCUUCUUUAGGGUGUGGUUCACCUUCUCUGUUUUCCCCAUUGACUCAGGCCUCCAAGCCCAGUGGAGUAUCUACUUGAGGGCUAGUACCUUAGAGAUUUGUUGUGUGACUUGUGAUAUGAAAACAGGUCCAUCGUCGCUCUGCAAAGUAUUAAACAGGCCAAAUCUAGGAAUAAUUUUUUUUAGCAGAAUGCUAGCUACUUGUGAUGCCUUUUCAGUUUGGGUGUGAAAUGCUUCUACCCACCCAGAAAAGGUAUCCACAAAAACUGACAAAGGCCUGCCGUUUUCAGUUACUCAUGGCAUCUGAGUAAAGUCUAUUUGCCAGUCUUCAGUAGGCCAGUCCCCUUUACGUUGGGUUCCCUUAUGAGGGGAAACUGGGACUUCCUUGGGGUUGUUUUUUGCUCAAAUCAUGCAGUUUUUGGUCACCUGCUAUACAGUCUUUUGUAAAUGAGGCCCUAUGAUGUACCUCUGAACCCAUUUUAGAGUAGUAUUCAUUUCAUAAGGGGUGCUCUCAUGUACACGUUUUAAGAUGGGGUACUAGAGGGCCUCCAGGAUCAGAAUUAUUCCUCGGAUGUCACUUUUCCAUCCUGCUGGGUGUUCAGCAUUGUACCCCUAUUCUUUUGCCAGUCCAAGUCCUUUUCUGAAUAUUUUGGGCAGUAUCCAAAUAGAUCUAUCUGUGGCAAUGGGGAGCCCAUCAUAGUGGGGGUCUCUAUUUUAGUGGCCCUUUGGGCUGUUUGAUCAGCCAGCCAGUUGCCCUUGGCAAUAGGGGUUUCCCCCUUUGAUGGCCAGGGCAAUGUAUCAUGGCCACCUGGGAGGGCUCAUUGAUAGCUUCCAACAGUUGUAGUAUUUCUGGGCUGUGUUUGAUUUCUUUUUUGUCUGUCAUUAGGAAUCCUUUCUUUCCGGAUUGCCCUCUGGGCAUGUACUACUGAAAAUGUAUGCCAGGAAUCUGUAUAGAUGUUCAUCUUUAUUCCCUGUACCAAGAAUAAAGCUCUGAUGAGGGCCAUGAGUUCAGCCUUUCGCUGAAGUCCCUGGGGGCAAGGCCAUAGCUUCCAGGGUUUCUUGCAAAGUCACAACCACAUAUCCAGAGCAUCUCAUACCUUGGUUCAUGAAGCUACUACCAUCCGUGAAGAGGUCCAGGUCAGGUUCCUCCAAUGGCUGGUCCUUUAAAUCUGGCUGGCUGGAAUAAACUGUCUCAGUGACCUGUAAGCAGUCAUGUUCUAAGGCUUGUAACAUUUCACUGGGAGGCAAGGUGGCUGGGUUCAGAACUGAGGUGACUUGUAGCCUGACAUUUGGGUUAUCCAGUAGGAUGGCUUGAUAAUUGCCCAUCCUUCCUGAUGUGAGCCAGUAUCCCCCUUUCUGUUCCAAUAAUGUGAGGACACGGCAGGUACAUCUAUUGUGGUCGGUUGGCCUGAAGUAAACUUUUCUGCCUCUUGAAGAAUGUCACAAGUGGUUGCUACUUCCCAGAGGUAAGGGGGCCAGCCCUUCACUGUUUAAUCCAAUUGUUUAAAGAAAUAGGCCACAGGCCUAGAGGUGGUUCCCAACUUUUGAGUUAUCACUCCUAGACUUACACCCUGUCUUUCAUGUAUAGAGACUGAGGGCCUUAUCUAGGGCUGGGGCUCGAAUCAGCUUAGCCUUAACGGUGUCAAAUGCCAAUUGGCACUUUUUGGUCCAAUUUAAAGAUUCUCAGAGCCUCAUAGAGGGGUUUUACUAUGAGUCCAUAAUUAGAAAUCCAAAUCCUACAGAAGCCUUCCAUUCCCCAAAACCCUUGCAGUUGUUGGCAGGUUUUGGGAGGACUUAAACAUGCUAUGGCCUUCUACUGGUCUGGUAAUAAUUCUCUUUGGACUUUGGAUAUUGUAAAUACCAAGUAUGUGACUUUCUGUUUACAGAUUUGGGCUUUCUUUUGUAAGACCUUGUAUCUGCAUUCUACCAGGUAAUUUAAAGUUUUUACUGUGUUGGCCAAACACUGUUCAUAAGUGAGACUUGCUAUCAGCAAGUCAUCCACAUACUGUAAUAGUCCCUCUUGUAAUUCCAAAUGGCUUAGGUCUUUGGCCAAGUCUUCCCCAUAUAGAGUGGGAGAAUUUUUAAAUCCCUAGGGUAGGACUGUCCAACAAUAUUGUUGAGUUGUCUGAGUAUCUGGAUCACGCCAUUCAAAAGCAAACAAUUAUUUGGUUUCCUCUGCUAACAGUAAGCAGAAAAAUGCAUCCUUUAAGUCCAGGACUGAGAACCAACCAUAUUCUCCUGGUAUAUUUGUUAAUAUAGUGUAAGGGCUGGGCACCACAGAGUGCAAGUCCUGAACCACCUCAUUUAUGGCAUGCAGAUCUUGGACAGAACGAUAUUCGUCAGAAUUAGGCUUCCCUAUUGAGAGAAUAGGGGCUAGGCUUCCUUCUCUUUUUCCUUUAGGGGUAUAUGUACUGGCUGAGCGUUCUUUGCUCUCCCUGGUUUCCCAUCUGCCCAGACAUUGGGCCUUACCUUCUUGUAGAUUUUGGGUGGCAACAGAUCCAAUUCUGGUUCCUGGAUAUCCAGCAAAGCCAUCUGUAACCUCAGGGAUUGUUCCAGAGACACUUGUUUAUUGAGUUGUCCUGGAGCAAAAGUCACUUGUGUGUUUGAUUUAUAAAGGAGAUCUCAGCCCAAAAGGAGAAUAGGGCAUUCUGGCAUGUACAGAAAACUGUGUUUUAAUGUCAAGGGCCCUAUGUGACACUCCAAUGGUUGUAGGAAAGCACAAUUUUGGAUUUUUCCAGGUACCCCUGUGACGGGUUGGAUUUGCCAUUUUUUGUGCUAAUUUGGUAUUUAAAACUGAAUGUGUAGCUCCAGUAUCAGCUAGAAAGUCAACCCAUUUGUUUCCCACUGUCAGUUGUGCUCAGAGCCCUUGUGGGGAAAUUGGGAUACAGUGUUUUGUGUCUAAGAUAGUCCCUGGGCACCUUCAGUCCUCAUCAGAGUGUUCCACUCUAUUAACCACCUGGGUGGCUUCUCUUUUCUUUUCUUUCAUACUCUCUUUAUGCUUUUUAAGGCAUUCCCUUUUCCAACGUUCUUCCUCUUUGCGAUAGUCACAUUGUUUCUUUCCUAAGGGGCACUUACUUCCCUUCAGUUGGCUGGACCUUCCCCUGGAACGAUUUGGCUUCUGUCCACUCAGAGGAGCUGCCAGAAAAGCAGCAUUUCUUUUAGCAUCUCAGUGUUUUAUCCGUCGUUCCCUGUUGUUGUACACCUUAAAAACAAUGUCUACCAACUGAGAGAGAUUCAUACCUAACACCGCACCCAGUUUCUGCAGUUUCCUUCUAAUAUCUGGGGCACUUUGUGCUGUGAAAGUCAUGUUCACCAUCCUAAGGUUCUCAGGGGCUUCUAGAGCUGCAUCUGUGUAACGCCUAUAGGCUUGGUAGAUUCUUUCUAGAACUUCCGAAGGACCUUCAUGGGGUUUUUGUUAAAUGCUUUGUAUCUUAUUUAGACUUUUCUGCUUAAAGGAACUCCCAUUUUUAAUCUGGGCAGAAUAUGCCUCUUAUAAUGUUCUAGCCUGAGUCUCUCUGCAUCAUCAUUGGGGUCCCAUGCUGGCUCAGCAAUGGGAACCGCAACAUUUGCUUCAAGGGUACCAGUGGGAUCUGCCAGAUGGAGCGUUUGCUUCUUCUCUUGCUUUAUCAAUUAUUAUCCUUCUUUCAGCACUGGUUAGGAGCAUAUUCAUCAAGAUAUGAACAUCGGUCCAGGAGGGAUGGUAAGUAGCAAAAAUGGAGGAAGAUAACUCAGUCAUUCUUUGUGGAUCCUCCCUCCCUAUAGGGUGGAUUAUUGUUCUUCCAAUUAAACAAGUCAGAAAUGCAGAAGGGGUUGUGCAUCCAUACAAAUCCUGCUGGUUGGUCCUGGCCAUUUACCCCUGCAGGAUAUUGUCACAGUGAAAAUUGCCCCACUCUGACAGAAGCCCCCUGGCAGAAUUGUGUCCCUUGUUUGGUCCGGGAAGGGGAAACCCUGUCUCCUAGUCCUGGUCCCAUGUCAGGCAUUCUUCCCAUGGUGGUUGGUGGCCCUGGAAGAGGGGGCACCACCAGGAUUGUAAACUGGGGAUUCAAAGUUCGUAAAAUCAUUACAUGAUGAUCAUCCUUUUGUCCCUUCUGUAACACAUGGGGUCUCUGUACCAUUAAAUAGUCUUUCCCUUAUUUUUUCUUAUCCUGAUGUAGUAACAUGAAAGCUUGUACAUAUGGGAUCUCAUCACCUUUCCCUGUGUUUUUGCAAAAGAGUUCAAGCUAUUGUGUAAUGGUUUAAUGUUCCAUUUGUUGGUCAUUUUUCCCCAGAAACUAAAAUAUACUGAGACCAGGCAGUGUUACAGUAAAAGAUCAUCUUUUUUCUUUGUCAUUGGUUCAAAACUAAAAUCUGCCCAUUGGGUCAGUUUGAGACCCAGGGGACUUUUCUUGGGCACAGAUGGCACAGCACCCAUACUCACACACCACACAGACAUCACAUACACACACACACAAGUUAACAUAGACUAGUCCACCAGAUAUUGCAGGUAGUCCUAGAACUGUUCCCUCUGAAAAAUGGCACCUAGGAACAGAUGGACCCAAGACAACUUGGGCCCUCAGACAGAGGGAAGAGUGUUCUCGGGAGUGCACUCUGAGGUGACUUACCCUACUCUAGAUGUGAAUUCAUGAACUCAUAGAUGCUUAUCCAUUUCUCCUUCCACCGAGAAAGGCAUUGAAAGUAGUUGGCAAUUGGAGGAACUCAGGGAAAAGUCCCUGGGAGAAAGUAAAACCCUGGCAGCUGCUGAGAGUGCCCCAAGAUUUUUCCUGAGUUGACUAGCCACAGACAGAAUCUAGUCCCUUUGUGGUUGCUAAAAAUUGUAACCAAGCAGGGGCUCGUUCUUCUUGCCACAACUGUGAAGCUAAUCAAUUGCAAAUGAGUCAGUGGUCAAGAAAGGGAUUCAUUUGAUUAGACAAGCAAAAUCAGAAGAUGGCAGACUCAUGUCCAAAGACCAUCUUAAACAAGCAUAUAAUCUUGAGGCAGUUAUAUAGGGACCAGUGGGCUAUGAAGGAGGGGCUCAGGAACGCUGGCCAUCUGACCUCGGUGACUGGAGACACCACACUAGGGCUUUCAGUUGUCAUCAAUGAUGGAUACCAGCAUAGAUGCUCUUCUCUGGGGAGGUCGCCAUGUUCCUAAGAAACUCAAAAGAACAAAGUUAUCACCUAUCACUAUUGGGAGGUACAUGUGUCAGCCAGGAUUAUUUCCCAGGGGGUAGCUAUUUAUCUCCUAGGCUACAUGCAAGGCAAAAUGUAUACAACUUGGGUGAGCUAAUCAGAGAUUACUCUAAGUUACAACAUGGCUUCUCUCAUGCCAACCUUGCUUCAGGCCAAUAUCAUAACCUUACUUUUGACUAUACAGUGGUCCCCUCCUUAUCCACAGGAGAUGAGUUCCAAGACCCCCGCUGGAUGCCUGAAACCACAGAUAGUACCUGAACCCUAUAUAUACUAUGUUUUUUUCCAAUACAU